AUGAGGUUUUUAUUAAGAUGGCUGUUGUUGUUACUACUAACUGUUGGAAGUCAUCAAGCAAACGAUUCAAGUAGUCGUUACCUCAGGGGGAAUGCUUCAUGGCGCAGCGAAUCACUUGCUACUCAUACUUUAACCUUGAAUGCAAAGGUAGCAAAGUCCGGUUUGCAGUCACGGGUCCCCCGGCAGCAGCAUCAACCUCAGGCACCCAUUCAGCGUAUAUGCCGGCUCAGCUCAAAGACUUUAUGCCUUCCUAAGAAGCCCCAGCAGUUCACCAGUCCACUCCAGCUGCCCAGACAGCAGGUUGACUCCCUAUCUUGGGGAACCCAGCCAAAGUGGAAGCCUUCCUGCCUGCCCAAGCACUUCUGCCAAUCCAAGGAGCCUCGGGUGUCCCAUCAGCCUGGUUCUCCACUCAGGCUGCCUGGUUUCCUGUCCCAGUGGCCCCAGUGGCCUGACCGUCCACUUUACCAGCUCCAGAGACCCCACUAUCCGGCCAAGUGGCCACUAUACUCACUCCAGAUGCCUCAGUACCAUGCAAAAUGGCCACACUUCCUGCCUUACUACCAGUCCAAGCGUCCACACUACAUGACUGUGUUGCCUAUCUACAGGGGGAAAGUUAUUGGUCUACCCAGCAAAGCAACUUCAGUAUCCCCAGCAGGCACAGAAGGUGGUGCUAAUGUAAUAGCCACACAAAGGGACCAAUGGGCAUGGUAUGUAGGAAAACGAUUAAUGAGAUAACUGGUUUUCAAUGGCCUUUAUUCAUGAAUGCUUUCUGUUAGGCACAGCAAUGUUGAGCCUUCUGAAUCAUUGUACUGACCUUUCCAAUUAAAAUAACUUUCAUCUUGACUCUGUAAGCAUUAAUUGAAUGAUUUGGUAAUAAAGUUUGAUAAGGUGUGUGUAUGAUGCCAACACAUAAUGCUUUCCUUCUGUUAAGAGUUAAAAUUUGUAGAAACUUGUAUACAAAGCAGAUUGAAAUUUUACACUGCAGAUAAGAGAUGCUGUGGAAUAGCUCUCCCAGAGAUUAAUUACUAAUGAUUAAAUGCAGAGUGCUUUAUAAACACAGUGAGAAAGGUGAGGUAAAAAAACAAAAAAAAAAACUCGGUGCAUCAUGGGAAUCCCCCAGCAACUACUGCAGCGUAACUAAGGGAGGAUUUGGGUUCCCCUGAUCCAGCCCUAACUAUAUGCUUUAACAAAAGUUUUAAGCCUAACCUUAAAAGUAGAGAUGGUGUCUGUCUCCCAAAUCCAAAUUUGAAGGUGGUUCCACGGAAGAUGGGCCUGACAGCUGAAGACUCUGCCUCCCGUUCUACUUCUAAAUAUUCUAGGAACCACAAGAUUCUUUGUCCCAUGCAUAGUCCUACAAGUACAACACACAAUGAAAUGUUCUGAACUGCUCCUUUGAUCAAGACAUCAUAAAGAAGUAAUUUUAAAUUAAAAAUCUGAGAAUGUAUAUUGUGCAAAUGGAAUGUUAAAGUGCUUUGUGCCUUAUUUGCACAGCAAUUUAUUGACCGAGCAAUGCAAGUAGUGACCGGAGUAACAGAGUGCAAUGUACAACAGUGACCAGCGUAAUAUAAACCGUGUAGGACUUGGAUGGCCUGAGGAUAGAAGCUCCCUGAUAGUGGGGAACCUUCUGCAAGUAAGUCAGUUUCAGUUUUCAGUUUUAUUUGUCAUAUGCAAGUUAGCACAGGGUCAACAUCGCAAUGAAAUGUGUUUGACGAGCAGCGGUCUCUCAGCAGCAUGAUACAGUAGGAAAAAAUAUAAUAUAAUAAGUAGUCAGUAGUGGCAGAUAUUUGUAGAUGCAGCUGAUGGCAACAUCAAUGAACUCACAGACUCUGUCAUUGGAUAUAUUGGAAAGUGCAUGGAUGAUAUCAUCACAAAAACCACUGUCCGCAUAUACCCAAAUCAGAAACCCUGGGUAAAUAAAGACGUUCGCGCCAAGCUAAAAGUGCGGACCUCUGCCUUUAACUCCGGGGAUGCUGAUGCAUAUAAAGCAGCCAGGUAUGACCUCCGUAAGUCCAUAAAAAAGGCCAGAAAGGACUACAGGGACAAAAUGGAGUCCAGCUACCACAGCUUUGACACCAGGUGACUGUGGAAUGGACUGCGCUGCAUCACUGACUACAAGAAGGUCAACACAGUCAGUGUCCAGCCCACUGCAUCUCUCGCAGACGAGCUUAACAACUUCUAUGUAGUCAGUAGUCUUAGAGCGAAGUGCUCUAAUGGGGUGAUGCAGUACUAUAAGGUCAUUAAGAUAAGAUGGGGCCUGAUUAUUCAAGACCUUGUAUGUGAGCAGGAUUUUAAAGAGAAGAGAAAAAUUUGCUCUUUCUAGACCGUAUCAGUACUCUUGCUGUGCGUUUUGUAUAGACUGAAGGCUUUUCAGGGAGUUUUUUUGACAUCCUGAUAAUAAAUUUCAGUAGUCCAGCCCAGAAGUAAGAAGUGUAUGAACUAGUUUUUCAGCGUCACUCUGAGAUGGGAUAUUUCUCAUUGUAGAGAGAUGUGCAAAUGGGAGAAAGUAGUCCUACAUAUUUGUUUAAUAUGUGCAUUGAAGGACAUAUCCUGGUCAAAAAUGACUCCAAGGUUCCUCACAGUGUUACUGGAGGCCAAGGUAAUGCCAUCCAGAGUAAGAAUCUGGUUAGAUACCAUGUUUCUAAGAUUUUUAGGGCCGAGUAAAAUAACCUCAGUUUUAUCUGAAUUAAGAAGCAGAAAGUUAGAUGUCAUCGAGGUCUUUGUCUUUAAGACAAUCCUGCAGCUUAACUAAAUGGUUUGUGUUAUCUGGCUUCGUGGAUAGAUAAAGUUGGGUAUCAUCUGCAUAGCAGUGAAAAUGUAUACUAUGCCGCCUCAUAAUACUGCCUAAAGGAAGCACAUAAAACGUAAACAGAAUUGGUCCUAAGACAGCUGAUUCAGAUAGGUCAAGAGAUGGCUUUUUAAAUAAUGGUUUAACAACUGCCAGCUUGAAGACCUAUGGUACAUGUGGCCUAUUAUUAGAGAUAGGUUGACAUAUUUAAGACUGAAGCAUUAAUUAAUGGAAGGACUUCUUUGAGCAGUAUUGUAGGAAAGGGGUGUUUGGGUUUCUGUAUAGAACCUUGUAUAUAUGAUAUUUGAAGUAGUUAAAACACAGUUUAUAAUAAAAAAAAUACUUCAAUAAUAGUGACCAAAAACUAGUAAUUGACUAUAAAUAAACAGAAUAAAGUAUCAGUGAUAGAACUGUUAAAUACAUAGAAACUAGCCCAGCCUGACCUAUCAUGCUUUACAGAAAAAAAAAAAAGUAUUCCAUACAGCAAUGUGUAUAACAGUAGAAUAUAUUGCUUUCAUUAGUAGCACAACCAGCCUGACAUCUUCUUUUUCUUGGUUUUUAAUUGGCUGUUGGCAAACAAAGAAUUGGUGCACUACCACCACCAACUGGUAUGGGGUUUGAACUAGAACGUCACCAGUGUGGGACCUGUACCCCCAAAAUCCUUUUCUGGUUUCCUAAUUAGCUACACCUGCAUACAAGCAAUCACACCUGAGUCCCAUUAACCAACCAUGACGGAGAGGGAAACUUUUUAAAAGGGCUGCACUGGCCUUGCUGUGUUUUUCAGGUACUUGAUUUGGUAGCAGGUGACAGAAGGUGCAGAGUUUGCUGCUUCCUACAGCUGAAGCCAUGGGUUUUCUAGUAAUGUAAGCUUUUGAAAGUGUUUUUACUGAUAGCUGAAUCAAACCAUCUCUUAAGUUGUGUUAUUAAAGCUUGGAGU
ensembl:lncRNA